CUUUUCAAAGUACUCUACUCUUGAUAGGUAACCUCCUUAAGAUAAUUAUCCACCAGAAAAAAAGCCAUAUUGCUGCAAAAGACAAAAAAAAAGUUAGAAUGUUGAGUCAAAGUGCUAGGCUUUACGUAAGAAACAAUGAGUUCUAAAAACUUUUUUUUUUUUUUUUUUUUAAUUUGAGUUUCAUUCACACCACUUACAUGCUAUUCAUCUGAAAAUGUAUAAGCAAUUAAAAAUCUAAAAACUUAAUUUUGUACCUUUUCAACAUUUUCUCUUCACCCCUUACAAUAGUAUAACAUUUUCCUUGCCAAUAACUUCAAAAACAGUUUAUGUCCAUGUAAUGUAUUUUUGGAUUGAGUCCAUUAAAAACUUUUUUGCAAAUUUGGUCCUGAUUUCAACUUUUUUAAUGUUUUUGGUCCAUCUCACUCCCACCCAAUGUUUUAAAAACCGGUUUUUUAGUUGAACCGGUAUGGUAACCGGUCCCCGGUUCAACCGGUUCGACCGCCGGGUUAUAUUUUUCAUGUUUUUUUCUAUUUACCUACACUUACAUACAUAUAGAAAUUAUGAAUUUGAUGUUUACAAGUUCAAACAUUAAAAAUACACAUAAAAAUAAGUUGUAGAUGAAUCCAAAUACAUUAAAUAAUACAUAACCAUAAGUUUUAGUGUUUUUACAUCAAUCUAUAUACGUCAAAAAGAAAAUAAAAUAUAAUAUCGAAACGAAAUAUAGUUUUUGAUGAAUACAAACACAUCAAAAUUUUUUAUAACAUUUACCAUAUGUUUUUAUUUAGAGAAAACUAAAUUGAUUUGAAAAAAAUCAUCAAAGUUUAUUAUGUAAAUUGUUCUUUUUCAUGUGUUUUUAUUCAGUUUAACCGGUUCAACCAGUUUAUUUUGACUGAUCCAACCGGUUUUUUCUAAAAACCGGCCGGUUCAAUCCGGUUCAGAAAUCAAUGUAAAACCGUUGAUAGUUGAACCGCUCCCUCUCCCAGUUCCCGGUCCAACCNCCGGUUCGACCGGCCGGUUCAAACUGGUUUUUAAAACAUUGCUCCCACCAUUAACAAAACAAUAUUAAAUCCACUUAAAAUGACCAUCUUACCCCUAUAUAUAACUCUUGCACCUUGAAGCCUCCAAAGGUGACAAAGUGAAAGUCCAUUCAACCGGUAAUUGAAGACACCAUAGCAAUGCCAAUUUUAUCCUCCUUACCACACUGCACCUACAUACAACUUCAUUUCCAUUCGUGAUAUAAAAUGAGUUCAUUUCCAUUUGUUGGUAAUAAAAGGGUAUUUUUAUUUAAUUAUACUUCAAAUCCAUAAAGUAAAAAACAAAAAAGAAUAAAAAAAUAACAGGCAUUUGCAAAGCUUGUAGACCAUGUAAUUCUUCAAAUUUUAACCCUCCAAAUUAAUAAGAAAACGAUAAAGAUUGGAUUACUUACCAAAAGGUUAAUGAUUAUCUAGUGUUUUUGCUCAUCAAAUCUUAUAUUUCGGAUACAAUGGGAAAAUUGUAAAAUAUGUAGACAUAUAUGACCUUGGAAUUGAAAAAGUAGAAGCCAAAGUUCUUAUGUAUGAAAAAAAUCAAAAAGGAAGAGAAAAAAAAAUGAUUAAGGUAAAAAAAAAAAUUAAACAUAUAUUCAUUGUGAAUACAAUAUGCAUGAUACUUUUCUUCAUUUUUUAUAUUUAGAUUGAAAAUGACAUGAAAAUUCAUCACUUUGUCAGACAAAAUAUACCGGUAAAUUUUACAAUUUAAGUCAAAAUUGAGUUGAAAUAUCACCUAUUUGUCCAUAAAAGUCAGAAUUUGCCUUUUGUGUCCAUUCCGUUAGUAAAAAAAGUAACAUAUAACAUUGAAGUUUGCAGACCAGGUACCUUAACUUAGUUGCUGUCAAACAACAGAGCCAAAUAGUACCAACAAUUGAAAAUUUAUCAAAAAUAAAUGCAAGUCGGUUAAAUAGACCAUAAAUAAGAACAAAAAAAAAUGAUAAACCAGAUCAAAUACCGAUAAAAAAAGCCCAUAGCUUUACCGAAAGCACACAAUAGCUUGAUUCAUGCACCUAAAUUAAAUUCAUCUUUCCCAGAUCGUGAAAAUUGAUGAUUCUGUUCAGCAGAAAACCAAAACAUCAUAAAAAUUUUCUAAGAAAACAUUUGUUUUCCAUGAGAGGUUAAUGUAUUUCAUCACCAAAAAGUUGACAAUUUCACAAUACUUUACAAACAAACGUAUAUAGAUAAUUCCAAGAACAAUUCUUAAACAAAAUUUAAACAAAUCGAACCUGGAAUUUUGGAAGUCGGAUUCAUGAUCCGACGAAUCUGAAUCUCCUCUUAAGAAUAGAAGAUAAAGGAAAAUCGGAAGCAAAGAGAUUUGGGAGAAAUCGAUUAUUUGUACAGAGUAUAGAUAGACAAAGAGAGCAGUGAGAGUACCCCAUUGAUUGCGGUGUUGAUGAUGACAGAGUUUUGGCUUUGAAGAGGUGUCGCUUCUAUUAACAGAGGAAGACAGAUAGGGAGCACCACCAUCACCAGCGCCGAUGUGCGUUGCUGUUUUUUCCUGCUUCCCUUUCAACCUCGUCCAGUCUAUCUAUCUUGGGCGUUAUUUUCUAGUCAUUCAAAACACACACAAUCUUGAACAACAAAAUUACACAUACCCAAAUCAGAUUUAAGGCGAAAGCUCCAAACCUAGAGAAACAUCAGGGCGAAUGGAUUGCGAUGCACAUUAAGAAGCAGAGAAAGUUCGACAAUCAGCGUACCAUAUGGAGCCGGGGUGGGAAAGCGGACAGCGGGCACUUACAGCUGCGGGACCGUCAUGGUUUUCUUCCUUGUCGGGUCUAGACAAUUCAAAUCGGAGCAAUUGGAUGUCAAAUUUGGGCCUAGACGACAUGACCAACUGUAAUCGAGGAUUUGGAGAAGAUGGAGAUGAAGCGGAGGGUACAAUCGGCAGUGAGGUGGUUUUAAGUCUGAGUCAUUGGGUUAAGAGGCGGUGAAGGAAACGUUGGAACUGAGUAGUUGCCGCGGAUGACAGGUGUGAACAUACGUGUGAAAGAACACGUGUCCACAAACAUAUAUACAAUGUGACAAAAAACGACCUACUGCAAAGAGCAACCCAAAUGAGAUAGAAGUGAACCCACAUCAAUAAAUAAG
rnacentral:lncRNA from 1 species